rnacentral:rRNA from 1 species
UCGGUGGGGAUUAGUGGCGAACGGGUGAGUAACACGUGGGCAAUCUGCCCUGCACUCUGGGACAAGCCCUGGAAACGGGGUCUAAUACCGGAUACUGAUCCGCCUGGGCAUCCAGGCGGUUCGAAAGCUCCGGCGGUGCAGGAUGAGCCCGCGGCCUAUCAGCUUGUUGGUGAGGUAGUGGCUCACCAAGGCGACGACGGGUAGCCGGCCUGAGAGGGCGACCGGCCACACUGGGACUGAGACACGGCCCAGACUAAUACGGGAGGCAGCAGUGGGGAAUAUUGCACAAUGGGCGAAAGCCUGAUGCAGCGACGCCGCGUGAGGGAUGACGGCCUUCGGGUUGUAAACCUCUUUCAGCAGGGAAGAAGCGAAAGUGACGGUACCUGCAGAAGAAGCGCCGGCUAACUACGUGCCAGCAGCCGCGGUAAUACGUAGGGCGCAAGCGUUGUCCGGAAUUAUUGGGCGUAAAGAGCUCGUAGGCGGCUUGUCACGUCGGUUGUGAAAGCCCGGGGCUUAACCCCGGGUCUGCAGUCGAUACGGGCAGGCUAGAGUUCGGUAGGGGAGAUCGGAAUUCCUGGUGUAGCGGUGAAAUGCGCAGAUAUCAGGAGGAACACCGGUGGCGAAGGCGGAUCUCUGGGCCGAUACUGACGCUGAGGAGCGAAAGCGUGGGGAGCGAACAGGAUUAGAUACCCUGGUAGUCCACGCCGUAACGGUGGGCACUAGGUGUGGGCACAUUCCACGUUGUCCGUGCCGCAGCUAACGCAUUAAGUGCCCGCCUGGGGAGUACGGCCGCAAGGCUAAACUCAAAGGAAUUGACGGGGGCCCGCACAACGGCGGAGCAUGUGGCUUAAUUCGACGCAACGCGAAGAACCUUACCAAGGCUUGACAUACACCGGAAAGCAUUAGAGAUAGUG